AUGUGUACAGCAGCGACGGCGGAUGAUCUAUCUCCCAUGCCUCCGUCCUCAAUCUCGCUGGUGGUCAGUCCAGCUCCUGCAACCAACACAGGUCAUUGCCCCUUUUGCCACAACGGCAGCAGCACAAACAUUAGUGUGGUCGUCCUCAACCAGUUCCUCACGCGGCCUCCGCGCAAGCCCUGCUCAUGUAUGCUUACACCAAAACAGUUCAACAGGGGCAUGGGGUUCAGUUCGACGGUGAUGACCCAGGCAGCUGGCCUUCACAUAACGGAGUGGUGCAGUUUGAUCUUGUGUGAAUUGGAAAUCCCCUGA
rnacentral:rRNA from 1 species